rnacentral:rRNA from 1 species
CACGUAGGGCGCAAGCGUUGUCCGGAAUUAUUGGGCGUAAAGAGCUCGUAGGCGGUCUGUUACGUCUGCUGUGAAAACCCGGGGCUUAACCCUGGGCUUGCAGUGGAUACGGGCAGACUAGAGGCAGGUAGGGGAGAAUGGAAUUCCCGGUGUAGCGGUGAAAUGCGCAGAUAUCGGGAGGAACACCGGUGGCGAAGGCGGUUCUCUGGGCCUGACCUGACGCUGAGGAGCGAAAGCGUGGGGAGCGAACAGG